AAAUAAAUGGAAACGAUAUUGGAACAGCAACGACGUUACCAUGAAGAAAGGGAAAGGUUGAUGGAUGCAAUGGUUAAGGAAAUGCUUUAUAAAAAGCCAGGACACAGGGAAAAUAUAAAUUCGGAACACAGGUUAAAAAUGUUACUCGAUCAGUAUAUGGACAGUACUUUACAUUUACAGGAUCUGUAUGAAGAUAAAGAUGGACAAAGGAAAGAAGAGGUACAAGCACUCUCCGGGCCAAAUGAAUUUUCAGAAUUUUAUUCUCGAUUGAAAUCCAUAAAAGAAUUUUAUCGACGACAUCCUAAUGAGAUAAGUAUUCCAAUGUCUGUGGAGUUUGAAGAAUUAGCUAAAAUGAGGGAAAAUCCUACGGAAGAACUUUCAAAUCUUGUUGAAUUUACAGAUGAAGAAGGUUAUGGAAAAUACCUUGAUCUGCACGAAUGUUAUGAGAAAUAUAUUAAUCUCAAGGGGAUAGAGAAAAUAGAUUACAUCACAUAUUUGUCAACUUUUGACCAUUUAUUUGAUAUUCCAAGGGAAAGAAAAAAUGCUGAAUAUCAAAAAUAUGUUGAAUCUCUAUUAGAAUACUUGACUGAUUAUUUGAGUAGAGUUAGACCUUUGCUUGAUAUAAAUGGAGAAUUAGAGGAAGCAAAUAAAGAAUUUGAAACACAGUGGGAAAAUAGUACAUUUCCAGGAUGGCCAAAAGAAACUGGUAGUGCUUUAACACAUGUUGGAGCUCAUUUAGAACUUUCUGCUUUUUCUUCAUGGGAAGAACUUGCAUCCCUUGGUUUGGAUAGAUUAAAGUCAGCUUUAAUGGCUUUAGGUUUAAAGUGUGGCGGUACACUCGAGGAAAGAGCACAAAGACUUUUUAGUACAAAAGGAGAAGCAUCGCUGGACCCAAAUUUGUUGGCAAAAAAUAAUAGAAAUAGGAAAUCUGGAAAAGGAAGAAAUUCUGAAAAGCAAAAAGAAAUAGCUCGUUUCGAAGCUCAAGUGUACAGACUUGCAGAAUUGGUAUCCUCCCAAAGGGUGGCUACAAAAGAAAAUGUUCAAAGAAAGCAAGCCAGAACAGAAGGUGAGAGAGGAGAUUCUGAUGCAGAAGCAAGUGCUAGUGAAUCAGAAGAAGAAGAUGAUAAUGAAGUUCCUUACAACCCUAAAAAUCUUCCACUUGGUUGGGAUGGUAAACCUAUCCCAUAUUGGUUAUAUAAAUUGCAUGGUCUGAAUAUUAGUUAUAAUUGUGAAAUUUGUGGAAAUUUCACAUACAAAGGACCCAAAGCUUUCCAAAGACAUUUUGCUGAGUGGAGACAUGCACAUGGUAUGCGUUGUCUCGGUAUUCCGAAUACUGCACACUUUGCUAAUGUCACACAAAUAGAAGAUGCUUUAGCUUUGUGGGAAAAGUUAAAAGCUCAGAAACAAGCAGAACGUUGGCAACCAGAACAAGAAGAAGAAUUUGAAGAUUCUCUUGGAAAUGUUGUUAAUCGUAAAACAUACGAGGACUUGAAGCGACAGGGCCUUUUAUAAAAUGCUCUAAAACUGGAUAAUUCUGUCAACAUUAUAGUUAAUUAAUCGAUAGAAACAAUAAAUAUGGGUACCCAAUUUAUAUUUUAAUAAUAAACGUGGAUCUUGGCCCAUAAAGAAGGAUAAGAUAAUUAAUAAUAACUG